UGACAUUUUGGGCUCUCUGUUCCAAAAAUUGAGUUUACCGGACACUAAUAACAUGCACCAUGGCCAUGAGUGGUCCUCCAUACUCAUUGAUUAGCGCCCAUCAUUCUUCCUUUUGUACUUGUUGCUGGACCUCAAACUAUUCAAAACUCUAUCAACUUUAUUCUUUCUAGUUACUACUAUAAAGCAAGUUUACUUCCAAUGCCAGUUUGUCCACUCAUGUAAUGUAAUAGCACAAUUCACUUUUAGCCUACUUAAAAAUUAGCUACCAAGCGUCUCUGUUCGCAUGAGUCCAAAUCUCCUGGCCCAUGUCAUGUCAUAUAUUAUGGUCACGUCACGUGUGAUUUAAUUUCUUAUUUUCUGGUCUUUUGAUAAGGGGUAAUGCUACACAGACAAGUUAAUUGGACAGGUGAAAUUUUUUUUUUUUUNNNNNNNNNNNNNNNNNNNNNNNNNNNNNNNNNNNNNNNNNNNNNNNNNNNNNNNNNNNNNNNNNNNNNNNNNNNNNNNNNNNNNNNNNNNNNNNNNNNNUAGUAUUUAUUUUAACAGAAAUUUUUACAAAAUAUAGUAUUUUAGGUAUAAUUUGGAUACAUAUACAUAUACAGACUGUAUAACCCUGUUUUUGUAUAUGUAUUCAAAUUACACCUAAAACACUAUAUUUUGUAAAAAUUUCUGUUAGAAUAAAUGCUAUACAUUUUUUGGGAGUCGCAACCAAAAAAAACAAACAAACUGAAAAUGUCCAAUAUUCAUGUCUAAAAAACUGGUCUGUGUAGACUUAUUCUUUGAUAAGAUUUAAUUGAACAAACUAACAAAGUUGCUAGGUAAAAUUUUAGAGAGUAUGAAAUAUGGUUCUGACACUUCAGUAUUAAUCAAUAAUUGGGGUUUGAAUAGAUUAUUAUUGAUUUUAAAAUUUCUAGUCUUUUUGAAAUAUUUAAAUUCACUUAAUUACUAUGUGAUAAAAUAAUAUGAAUAAGUAAAGAGACAUAAUUCAUUUAUACAAUGCUCAUAGAUUUAACUAGUUUACAAUAUUAUGUUGCUACAUUCAGUCACAAGCUCUCUUCUGGAUUUGAAAUCUUAAUACUAUCAGUAAUAAAUACUACUUCAACAUGCAUAGAAGCAUCUUAUUACAAAGGUUUUUUAGAGAAAACUUUCAAAAGUAUUCCUAAAACUAAUUUUUUUAGACAGUAACUCCCCGCUGCUUCCUCAAAUGUAGUUGUACGUGUUUCCUGGAAUUCAAUUCUAUCUUAAGAUUUGGUCUUGAAAUAGAAGUCAAUCCCUCACCUCACUUGACAAGCAUGCUAAAGACCCAACUACCCGUUGACCAGCAUAAAAUAAACUAACUCUCCAAAAAUUCCUUUUUCGAUAAAAAGUUGUUUGUUUGAAGUAUGUUUCACAUAAGCAUACAUAUUAUUCAUGUUCAUUUUAUAAUAGUUCAAAACUUUUAUAAAUAAAGAAUGUGCUUUUAAAUUAAGCAGAUUUAGAUGUUUGAUUUAAUUAUAUAAAAGCUUAUUUUCUUCUAUAUGAGAGAUAAAAAUGCUUUCUUUAAAAGCAGAUAAAAAACAAUUAUAUUUGAGUAUAACACAAGUAUAUAUGAAUGAGCAAUUUAGAAUUAUACUUGCAGUAUCAAGUAUGAAUGAGCUAAGUCAAUUUAAUAAUACUUGACACAAACAUAUAAUCACAAACAAUGUUAUUGUAUUCCAGAAAUAUAUAUGAUUAUAUAUUUUAUUUAUGAAGUGAAGAUUCAAUUCAACCACAGAGACAUUUGAUACACUAAGUUCUUUUUUGUUCAAUAUUUCAUGAACAAAAUAUGCUCUUUUGGUAUCGUAAUGGCAGUUCGCCGAAUUCAAUAUUUUCCAACUAUAUUUAUAUAAAUAUUUUCUUUUAAUCACCGGUUAAGAAUUUAUGAGAAAUAUCCCACGUUGAAAAGAUUAUCUCAAAGUGAUCCAAAAUCAAUUUCGAGUGCCACUAUCUAAAUAUUUAUAUAACUAUAUUAUAUCUACAAAAGACAGUCUUUACAAGAUAUAAAUAAAUGAAAUACAAAUAUAUAUAAACUUGUAACACAAUAUUUAUAUAUAUAUAUAUAUAUAUAUAUAUAUAUAUAUAUAUAUAUAAUAUUAAGAGAUUAAGUAAACUAAUGAACAAUUUUAAUAAACAUUUAUCUCAAUUUCUUCUUCACAAAAGUAACUUAGAAAUUUGGAAGAAAACUUUGAAAGCUUGUAGAGAGAAUAUAGGGUAUAACUUUCAUUCUUUUGUAAAUUAGUGAGUGAAAAGUAACGAAUUCCUAUUUAUAGAAAAACCAAGAGUUGGGGUAGGUUGGUCCAAAAAAUAUAUGGUUGAGGGACAUUACGGGCAAAGAGAGUAAAAUGAUUUUCUCUUUCUUCUAAUGGUGUAGCAUUUGAGUAACAAGGAGGGACGAGAGAGAAUUUUUUCUUCCAAUCUUUUCAUCUUUAAUAACACAUUGUCACGGCCUUGGAGAAUUCUAAAUCCCACCGUGCGGUCUUAAACAACAAUCUCCAUAGAAAGUUGUUAAGUUAACCUUUCACCAAGUUAAACAACACAAGAACUGGUAUGGAAGAUUCGAAAGGAACAAGAUAACACUUUAUUACACAAGAAAGCUUUACACAAGGAGGUUUGGAGAAUGCUUUGCUUAGGAUGGCCUCUGAUUGGAUUCUAUCUCAUUCGAUUCGAUUGUUUGGCCAAAUGAGGCCACCUCCUAUUUAUAGUCAUUCCACCCCUUCAAUGAAAGAUUCUAGAACCUACAAGUAACUUCUUAGAAAGUUAUAGGUACAAGCUUCUAGUUACAUACAUGUUCUACAAUUAUCUUGAGUAUUAUAGUAUCUUCCUAAAAUACUCCACAAGUUUUUCCAUUUAUCUAGAUUGUUCCACAACCAUG
rnacentral:lncRNA from 1 species